rnacentral:rRNA from 1 species
AUUGAACGCUGGCGGCAUGCCUUACACAUGCAAGUCGAACGGCAGCACGGGAGCAAUCCUGGUGGCGAGUGGCGAACGGGUGAGUAAUACAUCGGAACGUGCCCAGUCGUGGGGGAUAACGUAGAGAAAUUUACGCUAAUACCGCAUACGAUCUAAGGAUGAAAGCGGGGAUCGGCAAGACCUCGCGCGAUUGGAGCGGC